AUUUGGGGUUUUUUUUUUUGUUUUGCUUUUUUGUUGUUGUUGUUGUUUUUUGUUGUUAUUUUGUUUUUUGAGACAAGGUUUCUCUGUAGCUUUGCAGGCUGUCCUGAAACUCGCUCAGUAGACAAGUCUGGCCUCGAACUCAUAGAGAUCUGCCUGCUUCUGCCUCCCGAGUGCUGGGAUUAAAGGUGUGCACCACCACUGGCAGGCAUGAGAGAAGAUUUGUGAUCAACACAUGCAAGAGUUUCACAAUCCUGCUUGCUGUACAGCACCCUCAGUCCGGGAACUGCUUCUGUGUCACCUGCAUAGCAGGUGCAGAGGUAUAACCUAUAAUUGACUUAAGCCAAGCAAAAUGGUCACAUUACUCUAGGUCUACACCCCGCUAGCCAACUGAGACAUUCAAGGUCAAUAUGAG
rnacentral:lncRNA from 1 species